UGCUGGGACCUCUGGUGAUCGUGUACAUCAUGUGAGCUCCGGGAUGUUCCGUAGUGUCCUCGCGUCAAGACCCGGGCGCUCUUCUCAAUGAGCAGCUGCUCCGCGGUCCGCCUGAGCCUGCGGGAAGACUCGCCUUGACUUUUUGCCCUCUGUAGAUCUGUCACACCACCAAACCGGCCGGCGCGUCUCUGCAAAGAAGCGCCGUCACCGCUGCUACUACGAGAGCUCGUGUAGGUCAUCCAAGGAGAAACGCCGGGGCUGUCUCCCGGAGGAGGGGCUAGGGGGGGGGGAGACCUUGUGCUUUUCUCAAGUCGAAUAAGGGACGUUCCAGGCCGGACAGUCUGCUCUCUGCGUCCCGCCGAUGCACCGGGACCGACUGCGACACCUCCGCUCUGUGACGCAGCGCAGGGACGAGGCGCACGUUGAUGCUUUCAAUCGGCUCGGAAAGCUACAAUGAUUCUCCACGGUCAAGCCGGCCGGAGUUUAGAGCGGGACUUCCGGGAGGAAUUUUCAAAAUAAAACGCCAUUGCUAUUUAUUAUAUUGUGAUGACGCACCUAUUUGAUUACGAAGGCUACAUGGGAUUGACAAAACUUGUGGUUGAUUUAAUAAUUUGAACUUUCGGUAUUGAUACAAAGGCUGUAAUAUGACACAUUAUAGAUAGCUUGUUGGAAUAACUAUGUGCUAUUUUACAUUCUGUAAACAAAUUGGGAAAGGUGGAAUUUUCUUUAAAAUGGUUAGGGAGUAAGAUAGGGAGAGGCUAUCGGGUUUUAAGUGUUAUUGCUUCCUAUUUACUAUGAAAAUUGAGUGUUUCACUUAUCUGGCAGACUGACGUUGCAAAAGAAUACAAGGUUAACGAGAGUGAACGGGACAUGCAUGUUUAUUGUUGAAACAUGCGGUUUACUAUUGUAAAACAAUCAUAUGUACCAACUUAUAGAAAGGUGCAUCUUAUAUUUCCUGAUAGAAAACGUUCGUAGUACACUUGUACACAUGUUUAGUUGCUGACAAGCGUUUUUAUAUUUGCAGCUUUUACUUUGAAGUUAAGUGUCUUCACUUCCGCUUUCUUCGUUGUUUCUGAUUAUUUAAAACGGGCAAUCCCACUCAGUGACGUCACAGCUCGACCCUCAGCAGGAGCGUUUACCUUUCACCUACAGACCUGAGAUGGACUGACUGAAAUAAAGUCGAUCCUUUUCUGCUGCAGGUAACAGAUUAUAUUUAAAACAACCAAGAGCCUGACGUAAAUUACUCAUAUAUUUAAAGACUUUUAUGAAUGAUGCAA